rnacentral:rRNA from 1 species
UACGAAGGGGGCUAGCGUUGCUCGGAAUCACUGGGCGUAAAGGGUGCGUAGGCGGGUUUUUAAGUCAGGGGUGAAAUCCUGGAGCUCAACUCCAGAACUGCCUUUGAUACUGAGGAUCUUGAGUCCGGGAGAGGUGAGUGGAACUCCGAGUGUAGAGGUGAAAUUCGUAGAUAUUCGGAAGAACACCAGUGGCGAAGGCGGCUCACUGGCCCGGUACUGACGCUGAGGUGCGAAAGCGUGGGGAGCAAACAGG